rfam:Coprothermobacter proteolyticus DSM 5265, complete genome.
CUUAGUGCCCACGCCCUGGGGAAACGCCCGGACCCAUUCCGAACCCGGAAGCUAAGCUCAGGGAAGCCGAUGGUACUGGUGUGCGGGAGCUGCCGGGAGAGUAGGUUGGUGCUAAGU